UUACGGCCACAUCACGUUGAAACACCGGUUCCGCACAAUCACCGAAGUUAAGCAACGUCGAUCCUGGUUAGUACCUAGAUGGGUGACCGUUUGGGAAUACCAGGUACUGUAAG